UGGCUCAGUGGUUAAGAGCACUGUUCUGUUCUUCCAGAGGACCUGGGUUCAAUUCCCAG
rnacentral:tRNA from 1 species